rnacentral:misc_RNA from 1 species
UAGACCGCUGUUUAUUUGUAUUUAUAUCUGUCUUUGAAAACGAUGACAUAUAAAUAGUGUGUUAAGUGGUUUAGUUGAAUUUAAUGACAACAUCGAUUGGGUGUGGCGAGGAGCUAUGGUGAAAUUUAAUGUUUGCAGGAAGAACAAGAUUUUUCUUAUAUUCGUGAAGUUUCCACCUGGUUCACAUUGGUGGUAAAACUCCAAACUGCUUUAAUGUUGAAUCAUGGCUACGACUCAGUCCGACAACAAUUUCCGUCAGCUGCCACCUGGAACAAAACUUUUGGAUCACCAAGUAGCCGGGCACCUUGUGAAUCAAAAGAACAACGUAAUACCUUUCCUUCAGACAAAGGAUAAGACUUUACUGAAACUCAUCCAACUCCCACCACGGGGUCGUCGUGAACUAAAUUUUUACCAGACUGUCUUUGAUGAAAAGGCUGAGUCAGAUCCCAUCCUCAGACGCUUGAAGGACUUCUUACCGUACUUCUAUGGCACUUGCAAAUUCGAUAUUUUCCCUGAUGAACUGUACCUUCACUUGGAAGAUAUGACAGUUGAAUUUGAAAAAGCUAGUAUUGCUGACAUCAAGAUUGGAAGCCAAACUUACGACCCCGAAGCUUCUGCUGAGAAAAUUCAAUAUGAAAAAAUUAAAAAUCAGUUUUCAACGGAGGUUGGUUUUAAAAUGGGAUUUCGGGUGUAUCGUCCUUCAACUGAUACCUUUCAUUUCCCCUGUCGAAAGAAGCUUCUGCAACUUGACCAGUUUCGAAUUUUAGAAGAAGGUAUUGGUGAAUAUUUUAAUUUGUCUGAAAGUUUACGCAAAGAUGCAGUCUUUGCAAUCUUACUUGAGCUCAUCGACAUCAAAAACUGGUUUGAAAAUCAACGAAAAUUUGCAUUUUAUUCCUCUUCCUUACUGUGCAUUUAUGAAGGGCUUUGGCCUUGUAAGCAGCAUUUAGCAGCAGUGUCCCAAUUACCUCCAUCAAAUCAUUCUAUUGUAAACAAAAACAACGGUGAUUGUCGUGCAAUGACAAAUAUCGAAGAUCUUCUGCAGAGUUCAUAUGGCAAAAGAGAUUCUUGUGUCAAAGUGAAGAUGAUUGAUUUCAGUCAUGUGUAUGCAACAUGUGAAAGGGACAAUAAUUAUUUAAUUGGAUUGGACAGUCUAAUUAACUAUUUAAAAAGGCUACUUACAGAGUUAUAAAAUUGCUAAUUAAUAAAAUAUCAACUCCAGCAAGUCAGCUCCAGUCCAACGCAGCAACAGAUACAAACUGCUUUUUAUUUUUAUGCUUUCACAGCUUUUAACACUUUCGGACAUGGUAUAUAAUAAUAAUAUAAAAUAAGCUACGUGAAUCUAAAGAUUCAGGUAGCUUAUUUUAAUAUUAUCAAAAGUAACAACAAAAUAUCAGAGUGGAUGGAUCAGUUGAUAAACUGUGCUUGAAAUCCACUGAAAAUGUUUAACUUUUGAGAAGGUCCACUUCAUCAUUGAGAUAAACAAUUGAGAUGAUGGGGAGAGAGAGAUAAGUCAUAAGGAAGCAGCUUCGUUUUUAGCAAACUGCUUCACCUCAUGAAGGUGUGGCUGUUGGAGUUUGCUGUAAAUUCAUCACAAAGUAAUGACAUUUACCUGACAAAUCUGUCAUGGUUUUUUUUCCCUUUUUUUUUUAUCCACUGAGUAAAUGUAUUGUAAAACAUGGAAACAAACCGUUUUAUGCUCUGAAAAUUUUUAGAAAUCUUCCAAAAAGAAUAAGACAUGAAGUAAUGAAUUAACAGUCUCCAGUAAUUCUGUAUCCUACAAAGAAACAAUGUAGUUCUGUGAGAAGGAUUCAAUACAUCGUCUAUAAAUAAUGAAAUAAGAAAAUAUUGAAUUAUUUGAGGAAUUGCUCAUAGGCCCAGGAAUGUGGUUAAGACGUGUGCUUCCUCAACCACAUGGUUUUAAGUUCAGUCCCACCGUGAGUCGCCUUGGCUAAUGAAAGCCCUCUGAAUGGAUUGAGUAGACAGAAACUGAAAGAAGCCUGUCACGUAUCUGUGGCUUGUGUGUCUGUCCCUCCAUCUUUGUCUUGACACGGGUAAUUGUUGUGAAUAAGGGACACUGCCAUGCAUUUGAAAUACUCUGUGAAUACAAGUCUGACCAAGGGGCAAAUGUAACCUACUUAAUAGGAAGAGUAUCUGACCA